CUACUGCCCAAAGUCAAAUCGCAAAUGGUUAGGUGGAGGGGACUUCAAGGAUGAGCUGGGACCUGGGGGAAUGGGUUGGAAUUUGUAUUGAUUUCUCCCUGAUUCCCGCAGUUCACCUUUGAAGACGGAGGUGAUCUGCCCAAGGAGCCAGUCCUUUGUCACAGACUCAAGAGUGGCUGAAAUUGGAAGAGAAGCCCUGGAGCCGAAGGUUGGGACCGGGCUGCUGCCCCACACCUACAAGAUGAGCUGACUGAAGAGGCGACAGCAUGCACGAUGUGCAGCAGGGCGUUGUACCCUGCACUGGCCCUCCUGGUUAAAAGUACAUGACCGCUUCCACCUGUCAGAUCUCAGGCAGAAUGCCUCUGUGGCUCAUGCUGACCCAGAACUCUGCAGGAAAGGAAGUGAAAAUGUACUACCAGCUUAACUAAGCUGACAGCAUAGAAACCGACCACAAUAAGUAAAUCAUAUGGUAUGUUAAAGUCGAGGUGUAUGUGGCAAAGAACAGAGAAUGACCUGUGGCCCACAUUCAGUAAAGGAACUGAGGCUGCCAGACCAAUAGCUCACAGAAUCCUGUCAACAGCCAGGGUGGUCUUGGACAUGAGGAAGAAGGUGACACCAGGCCUCAG
ensembl:lncRNA